rnacentral:rRNA from 1 species
CACGUAGGGGGCGAGCGUUGUCCGGAAUUACUGGGCGUAAAGGGCGCGCAGGCGGUUAUGUUAGUCUGCUGUGAAAAGCAUCGGCUUAACCAUGGUAAGCAUUUGAAACUGGGUAACUUGAGUUAAGGAGAGGAAAGUGGAAUUCCUAGUGUAGCGGUGAAAUGCGUAGAUAUUAGGAGGAAUACCAGUGGCGAAGGCGACUUUCUGGACUUUAACUGACGCUGAGGAACGAAAGCGUGGGUAGCAAACAGGAUUAGAUACCCGUGUAGUCCCUGAGCGGGCU